rnacentral:rRNA from 1 species
CAGAUCCUACGGGGGGCAGCAGUGGGGAAUAUUGGGCAAUGGGCGAAAGCCUGACCCAGCAACGCCGCGUGAAGGAAGAAGGCUUUCGGGUUGUAAACUUCUUUUGACAGGGAAGAGCAGAAGACGGUACCUGACUAAGAAGCCCCGGCUAACUACGUGCCAGCAGCCGCGGUAAUACGUAGGGGGCGAGCGUUAUCCGGAUUCACUGGGUGUAAGGGGAGCGUAGACGGCCAUGCAAGCCAGGGGUGAAAGCCCGGGGCCCAACCCCGGGACUGCCCUUGGAACUGCAUGGCUCGAGUGCGGGG